GGAAUAUUGGUCAAUGGGCGCGAGCCUGAACCAGCCAAGUCGCGUGAAGGACGACUGCCCUAUGGGUUGUAAACUUCUUUUAUACAGGAAUAAAAAGACCUACGAGUAGGUUAUUGCAUGUACUGUAUGAAUAAGCAUCGGCUAACUCCGUGCCAGCAGCCGCGGUAAUACGGAGGAUGCGAGCGUUAUCCGGAUUUAUUGGGUUUAAAGGGUGCGUAGGCGGGAAUUUAAGUCAGCGGUGAAAUCUCGACGCUCAACGUCGAGCCUGCCGUUGAAACUGAGUUUCUUGAGUAUGGAUGAAGUAGGCGGAAUUCGUUGUGUAGCGGUGAAAUGCUUAGAUAUAACGAGGAACUCCGAUUGCGAAGGCAGCUUACUAAGCCACAACUGACGCUCAAGCACGAAAGCGUGGGGAUCAAACAGGAUUAGAUACCCUGGUAGUCCACGCCGUAAACGAUGAUUACUAGUUGUAUGCGAUAUGACCGUAUGUGACUAAGCGAAAGCGAUAAGUAAUCCACCUGGGGAGUACGCCGGCAACGGUGAAACUCAAAGGAAUUGACGGGGGCCCGCACAAGCGGAGGAACAUGUGGUUUAAUUCGAUGAUACGCGAGGAACCUUACCCGGGCUUGAAAUGCAAUCGACCGGCCUUGAAAGAGGCUUUCUAGCAAUAGCGAUUGUGUAGGUGCUGCAUGGUUGUCGUCAGCUCGUGCCGUGAGGUGUCGGCUUAAGUGCCAUAACGAGCGCAACCCACAUUAUUAGUUACUAACAGGUCACGCUGAGGACUCUAAUAAGACUGCCGGCGUAAGCUGCGAGGAAGGUGUGGAUGACGUCAAAUCAGCACGGCCCUUACGUCCGGGGCGACACACGUGUUACAAUGGGUGGUACAAAGGGCAGCUACUUGGCGACAAGAUGCGAAUCUCCAAAGCCACUCCCAGUUCGGAUCGGAGUCUGCAACUCGACUCCGUGAAGCUGGAUUCGCUAGUAAUCGCGCAUCA
rnacentral:rRNA from 1 species